GUUUGAUCCUGGCUCAGGACGAACGCUGGCGGCGUGCUUCAUACAUGCAAGUCGAACGAGAAGCUAACUUCGGUUAGUGGAAAGUGGCGGACGGGUGAGUAAUGUGUAGAGAAUCUGCCCUGUACUGGGGGACAACAGAGGGAAACUUCUGCUAAUACCCCAUAUGAGCGUACCUGCGAUGGUAUUCUUGAAAGUUCCGGCGGUACAGGAUGAGUCUGCAUCUGAUUAGCUAGUUGGUGGUGUAAUGGACUACCAAGGCGACGAUCAGUAGCUGGUUUGAGAGGAUGAUCAGCCACAAUGGGACUGAGACACGGCCCAUACUCCUACGGGAGGCAGCAGUAGGGAAUUUUGCGCAAUGGGGGAAACCCUGAUGCAGCAACGCCGCGUGAGUGAAGAAGUAUUUCGGUAUGUAAAGCUCUAUCAGCAGGGAAGAGAAUGACGGUACCUGACUAAGAAGCCCCGGCUAACUACGUGCCAGCAGCCGCGGUAAUACGUAGGGGGCAAGCGUUAUCCGGAUUUACUGGGUGUAAAGGGAGCGUAGACGGCUGGCCAAGUCUGAAGUGAAAGCCCGGGGCUUAACCCCGGAACGGCUUUGGAAACUGGCCGGCUGGAGUGCUGGAG
rnacentral:rRNA from 1 species